rnacentral:rRNA from 1 species
GACGAACCGUGCGAACGUUAUUCGGAAUCACUGGGCUUAAAGCGCGUGUAGGCGGGACGGCACGUCGGUCGCUGAAAUCCCCCGGCUUAACCGGGGAACGGGCGCCGAUACGACCGCCCUGGAGGGACGUAGGGGGACCUGGAACUUCCGGUGGAGCGGUGAAAUGCGUUGAGAUCGGAAGGAACGCCCGUGGCGAAAGCGAGGUCCUGGACGUUUUCUGACGCUGAGGAGCGAAAGCGUGGGGAGCGAACAGG